ACGACGCGAACCCUAAUCUGGCGGCUACAGGUACUCCAUCCCAAGAAUCAAGCAUCUAUGAGAAUUGAAGUUGAUUCUUGUUCAAUCCCAUGAACUUCUUUGUGGCACAAGUGAAGAAGCAUCAUGUUUUGGUGUUCAAUUAAACGGAUUAUGGUCAUGUUCUCGAGGCCGCCUUCCAAGCUGUCAAGAAACAGAGUUUGAGUUUGAUUUUUGAGAUGCUGAGGGCGAAUUCAGGACUCCGGUGGAUCAAAGACAAACAGUCAAGAUUCAUAUUUUCUCUGGCUGCCAUGCAUCGUCUAGCUAAAGUCUUUUCUUUAAUCUUAAAAAAAAAGAUUUCAGAUGAUUUUAGGUUGACGAUGCAGGACAGCAAGAGAAAAAGUGGUGUUUACCCCUAUCUUUGUGCAUAAUUUGAGGAACACUGAUAUUUUUAUAAAGAUGGUGACGACAUCAGAACCAUUGCAUAUAGCAAAGAUGUCUGCAGCUUUCACGGCAUUCCCGGUGCAACUAAGGUUCUAUCUCAUUUCAAGUUUCUUUUGUAUAACUUCUUUCAUCUUUUUUGUAGGAAGGUAUAACUUUCCAGACCGGGUUCUACAUGAUGUCUAUCACCCAGGAACUGGAUUCAACGAAGAAUUGGGGAUGUUGUGAACUCACAACCAUCAUGUUCCUUGAUCCCCAAUCAAUGCACAUGACACCCUAACACCCCACUCCUGUUUGAGAAAAAUACAACCUAAAAGGAAAACCGUAUCUGUUGUGUUCAGAAUUAAUCUAUAACCGGGGAUGUCAGCAGCUUUCACCAUGCACAAUGGAUAAUAUCGCUGGUGCAGCUUUGCAGAUGCAGAGAGAACGUUCUCUCACUUUAAAUUUCUUUUGUAUAAAUUAUUAUUGUUGGAGGGUUACGUAACUUUCGAAACAGAAAACUUGUAACACAUGAUAUUAGGAUUUC